rnacentral:rRNA from 1 species
UACGUAGGGUGCGAGCGUUGUCCGGAAUUACUGGGCGUAAAGAGCUCGUAGGUGGUUUGUCGCGUUGUUCGUGAAAACCGGGGGCUUAACCCUCGGCGUGCGGGCGAUACGGGCAGACUUGAGUACUGCAGGGGAGACUGGAAUUCCUGGUGUAGCGGUGGAAUGCGCAGAUAUCAGGAGGAACACCGGUGGCGAAGGCGGGUCUCUGGGCAGUAACUGACGCUGAGGAGCGAAAGCGUGGGGGAGCGAACAGGA